rnacentral:rRNA from 1 species
UGGGGAAUUUUGGACAAUGGGCGAAAGCCUGAUCCAGCAAUGCCGCGUGUGUGAAGAAGGCCUUCGGGUUGUAAAGCACUUUUGUCCGGAAAGAAAUCCUUGGCUCUAAUACAGUCGGGGGAUGACGGUACCGGAAGAAUAAGCACCGGCUAACUACGUGCCAGCAGCCGCGGUAAUACGUAGGGUGCAAGCGUUAAUCGGAAUUACUGGGCGUAAAGCGUGCGCAGGCGGUUUGCUAAGACCGAUGUGAAAUCCCCGGGCUCAGCCUGGGAACUGCAUUGGUGACUGGCAGGCUAGAGUAUGGCAGAGGGGGGUAGAAUUCCACGUGUAGCAGUGAAAUGCGUAGAGAUGUGGAGGAAUACCGAUGGCGAAGGCAGCCCCCUGGGCCAAUACUGACGCUCAUGCACGAAAGCGUGGGGAGCAAACAGGAUUAGAUACCCUGGUAGUCCACGCCCUAAACGAUGUCAACUAGUUGUUGGGGAUUCAUUUCCUUAGUAACGUAGCUAACGCGUGAAGUUGACCGCCUGGGGAGUACGGUCGCAAGAUUAAAACUUAAAUGAAUUGACGGGGUCAUAGCUGUUUCCU